rnacentral:rRNA from 1 species
AUUAAACGCUGGCGGCAUGCCUUACACAUGCAAGUCGAACGGCAGCACGGGGCAACCUGGUGGCGAGUGGCGAACGGGUGAGUAAAGCAUCGGAACGUGCCCUGGAGUGGGGGAUAACGUAGCGAAAGUUACGCUAAUACCGCAUAUUCUGUGAGCAGGAAAGCAGGGGAUCGCAAGACCUUGCGCUCUGGGAGCGGCCGAUGUCGGAUUAGCUAGUUGGUGGGGUAAAGGCCUACCAAGGCGACGAUCCGUAGCGGGUCUGAGAGGAUGAUCCGCCACACUGGGACUGAGACACGGCCCAGACUCCUACGGGAGGCAGCAGUGGGGGAAUUUU